AUUGAUCGCUGGCGGAAUGCUUUACACAUGCAAGUCGAACGGCAGCACGGGGGCAACCCUGGUGGCGAGUGGCGAACGGGUGAGUAAUACAUCGGAACGUGCCCAGUCGUGGGGGAUAACGUAGCGAAAGUUACGCUAGUACCGCAUACGAUCUACGGAUGAAAGCGGGGGACCGUAAGGCCUCGCGCGAUUGGAGCGGCCGAUGUCAGAUUAGGUAGUUGGUGAGGUAAAGGCUCACCAAGCCGACGAUCUGUAGCUGGUCUGAGAGGACGACCAGCCACGCGGGGACUGGGACACGGCCCAGACUCCGACGGGAGGCAGCAGUGGGGAAUUUUGGACAAUGGGCGCAAGCCUGAUCCAGCCAUUCCGCGUGCAGGACGAAGGCCUUCGGGUUGUAAACUGCUUUUGUACGGAACGAAAAGGCUCUGGUUAAUACCUGGGGCUCAUGACGGUACCGUAAGAAUAAGCACCGGCUAACUACGUGCCAGCCGCCGCCGUAA
rnacentral:rRNA from 1 species